GACGUAGGGCGCGAGCGUUGUCCGGAUUUAUUGGGCGUAAAGAGCUCGUAGGCGGUGUGUCGCGUCGGCCGUGAAAACCUGCAGCUUAACUGUGGGCUUGCGGUCGAUACGGGCAUCACUGGAGUUCGGCAGGGGAGACUGGAAUUCCUGGUGUAGCGGUGAAAUGCGCAGAUAGUCAGGAGGAACACCGGUGGCGAAGGCGGGUCUCUGGGCAGUGAACUGACGCUGGAGGCGCGAAGGCUAGGGGAGCGAACGGG
rnacentral:rRNA from 1 species